GGUGGGGCCGCACCUGCGCGACAGCCCGCCGCUUCCCUCCGCUCCCUUCGCCGCGCCUCGCGUGCUAGCGGUGCCCUUGUGAGCCACUGCGUUCUCCAAGGCCAGAACGGGACAGUUGACGAUGGUCGUACUUCUCCAUGUUCUGAGACCAGUUUAAACAAAAACAAAAACCAGACAACAACCUUGCAAGGGAAAGAAUUCAGAGUAAAUAAACAGUCUUUUUCUGGGAAGUAAAAUAUUUCCCUAAGAUGGAGAAAUUGAGAUGAGAGCUCAUCCACAAGAUUACCCAUCAAUGAGCACCAAUAGCAACCAAAUCCACUAGAAGACUGGGAGCUUUUAAGUCAAGAAACUUACAUCAGUAUCAUCAUUCCAAGAAGCGGUAUCCAAGCUGUUUUAUCGAAAGUGCGCAUGGGAGGCAGAUUUUGACUCCAAAAGUCCAGGAUGGGGCCUGAGGUUCUGCAUGUCUAACAAUUUCCCAGCUGAUGCCAAAGCUGCUGAUCAGAGUCUACACCUUAAGAAAUAAGACUCUGAGAAUUUAUAGAAACAAACAUUAGAAGGCAGGAAUGUGGAGAGAAGAAAGCUACCUGACAAGGGAAUCUCAGGAUACAAGGAAAACACCAAGGAAUGUAAAUCUCUGUUUACCACAAGCCCUCUGUCUCCACAAGUUCUGUGUCCAGAACUGAAGGCAGAUCCAAAUACAAUAUUCAUGGGAUGCAAAUUCCCAUGUAUGCCAAGAGAUAACUGCUUUAUUGGAGGCCUAGUGGGGAACUGAAACUCCCACUCCUGCUUAGCAGGAAUGAGAAGCCCCCUUUCAGAGGUCAACAGAAGCUGAGUUAAGAAACCUGAACUUUUACCCUACCUGGCAGUAAUGAAGCGACACCCACCUUCGUCUGUGAGGAUGGUGUGAGAUGAAGGUAGCUAAAACAAAAGGUUUAAAUAAGAUUCAGAGUCUCAUCAUAUUGAAAUGUCCAUAUUUCAGUGGAAAAUUACUCAUCAUACAAAAACAAGAAAGAACUAAAACUAAGUGAGAAAAGAUAAUAAAUAUAUGCCAACAUCAAGAUGACACAAAUGUUAGAAUUAUCUGGCAAAGCUUGUAAAGCAGCCAUCAUAAAAAUACUCCAAUGAACAAUUAAAACAUUCUUGUAGCUAAUGAAAAUUUAUUUGGAAAGCUUCAACAAAGAAAUAGGAAGUCAUAACCAAAAAUAGAAGAUAAAAGAGUCAAAUGGAAAAUUUUGAACUGAAGAAUACAAUAACCAAUAUAAAAAACUCAAUGCAUGGGCAGAAUGGAGGAGACAGAGGAAAUAUUGGUGAACUGGAGGAAACAAUAUAAAUUGACCAUCUAUACAACAGAGAGAAGAUAGAGUGAAAAAAAGAUGAAAGGAACCUCAAAGACCUUCGAGAUUAUAGCAAAAAAAACCAAAAUAAAACAAAACCAAAAACCAACAAACAGACAGACAAAAAA
rnacentral:lncRNA from 1 species